AGAGUUUGAUCCUGGCUCAGGACGAACGCUGGCGGCGCGCUUAACACAUGCAAGUCGAGCGAGAACCAGGGCUUCGGCCCUGGGGACAGCGGCGAACGGGUGAGUAACACGUGGAUAACCUGCCCUCGGCACCGGGAUAGCCCGGGGAAACCCGGAUUAAUACCGGAUUGCCCUUCCGGCUCUCGAGCUGGACGGAAAAGGUAGCUUCGGCCUCCGGCCGAGGAUGGGUCCGCGGCGGAUUAGCUUGUUGGCGGGGUAACGGCCCACCAAGGCGACGAUCCGUAGCUGGUCUGAGAGGACGAUCAGCCACACUGGGACUGAGACACGGCCCAGACUCCUACGGGAGGCAGCAGUGGGGAAUCUUGCGCAAUGGGCGAAAGCCUGACGCAGCGACGCCGCGUGAGGGAAGAAGGCCUUCGGGUUGUAAACCUCUUUCAGGAGGGACGAAGCUACUCGGGUGAAUAGCCCAGAGGGUGACGGUACCUCCAGAAGAAGCCCCGGCUAACUACGUGCCAGCAGCCGCGGUAAUACGUAGGGGGCAAGCGUUGUCCGGAUUUACUGGGCGUAAAGCGCGUGUAGGCGGCCAUGCAGGUCCGUUGUGAAAACUGAAGGCUUAACCUUCAGACGUCGACGGAAACCGCGUGGCUAGAGUCCGGAAGAGGAGAGUGGAAUUCCUGGUGUAGCGGUGAAAUGCGCAGAUAUCAGGAAGAACACCAAUGGCGAAGGCAGCUCUCUGGGACGGUACUGACGCUGAGACGCGAAAGCGUGGGGAGCGAACAGGAUUAGAUACCCUGGUAGUCCACGCCGUAAACGAUGGGUGCUAGGUGUGGGAGGUGUCGACUCCUUCCGUGCCGCAGCUAACGCAUUAAGCACCCCGCCUGGGGAGUACGGCCGCAAGGCUAAAACUCAAAUGAAUUGACGG
rnacentral:rRNA from 1 species